UACGUAGGGCGCAAGCGUUGUCCGGAAUUACUGGGCGUAAAGCGCACGUAGGCGGAUUGUUAAGUCGGGGGUGAAAUCCUGGAGCUCAACUCCAGAACUGCCUUCGAUACUGGCGAUCUCGAGUUCGGGAGAGGUGAGUGGAACUGCGAGUGUAGAGGUGAAAUUCGUAGAUAUUCGCAAGAACACCAGUGGCGAAGGUGGCUCACUGGCCCGAUACUGACGCUGAGGUGCGAAAGCGUGGGGAGCAAACAGG
rnacentral:rRNA from 1 species